CAGCCGUAAACUAUGCGCGUUAGGUGUGCUGGUGACCACGUGUCACCGGGGUGCCGAAGGGAAACCGUGAAACGUGCCGCCUGGGAAGUACGGUCGCAAGGCUGAAACUUAAAGGAAUUGGCGGGGGAGGCACCACAACGGGUGGAGCCUGCGAUUUAAUUGGACUCAACGCCGGAAAUCUCACCGGAUAGGACAGACAUAUGAUAGUCGGGCUGAAGACUCUACUUGAUGAUCUGAGAGGUGGUGCAUGGCGUCAGUGACU
rnacentral:rRNA from 1 species